UACGGGAGGUGAAGUGCCUUGGGGGUCGUGGUCAAGGUUAGGCAGGCAGGCGGAUUUCUGGGGUUCUGAUUUGGAGGAUCCGCGGGAGGGAGCUCCGGCGUGGGUUAAGGCUUGCUGUGCCUUUCUACGCCCGGGCCACGUGGGCCGACAGGGCACUCUCCGAUCAUCACAAACCUGGGGUCCAUUGAAUGCAUUUGAGAGCUUUGAAACCAUGAUCUCUUGUGGUAUGUUGUGAACCCCCAUUGUGAAAGGGGAAGAAACCGAGGCCCAGAGAAGUGAAGUUACUUACACAAGGAGCUACAGCUAGUGACUGGCCCCCAAGUCCAAAGCAUCUGUCGCUGCCCUACUCAGGGUGUAGAACGGCGCACCUAAUAAAAACCUUGUGCUGGGGUUUGCGCCUCCCAUCCCCGCCUGCUUUGGUCUUCCCCCAACCCCAAGCAGGGCUAAGAAAUCAGCGGUUCCCUUCAGCACCGAAGAUGGUGCUUUAACCUGACAGAAUGGGGAAGUUAUUAUGGUAAGUAUCGCAGAGAUUUGUUACCCAUCUGGACAUUUGUUGUUUGGCUUCCUGCUGGGGAAAACGUUCAUAUAGCCUUACGUCUUCAGUGCCCAGCCCAGAGUUGGUCGUCCCUGGAUACGUGUUGAAUGAAUGGAGGCUGUGUCGCCUUUCUUGUACCUCUUUGAACUCCCUGAAGGAAAUAGGACCAGUUUGGGGGUCAGACUCUGCCACACUCACCGGGUGUGUGUCUUUGGGUAUGUUUCUAGCCUUCUCUGGGUUUAGUUUUCUCCGUGGUAAAGUACAGUUGACCCUUGAACAAUGCGGGUUUGAACUGUGUGGGCCCACUUCUUCGCAGAUUUAAAAAAAUAUAUAUGUUGUGAAGUUUUUUUUGGAGAUUUGCUCCAAUUUGAGAAAACCAGAUGAACUGCAUAGCCUAGGAAUACUGGAAAAAAAAAAAAAAAGAUGUAUCACGAAUGCAUAAAAUAUAUGUAGAUGCUAGUUUAUCAUUUACUUCCAUGAAGUAUAAUACACAAGUUUGUUACAAAAAGGUUUAUCAAAAUGUACAGACUGUACAUGGCAUCAUUCAUAGUUGAGAGAAAUGGAAACAAAGAUGCACUAUUAAAUAACUCCAUAAAAUUAACUGCAGUACAUACUCUACGACUGUAAGAAUAUCAUAGCCACCUCCUCUUGCUGUGGUGAUCUCAAGUGUUGUGAUUUCCAAGCUUAAAACUGUGUGUUGCUAAUCCUCUCUGCGAGAUCAGUUCGUCACUCGUAAAUUUCAAAUGGCUGUAAAAAGUGAUCCCGUGGUUCUUGCAUAUUUUUCAUCAUGUUUAGCGCAAUACUGUAAACCUUGAAUAACGCCAUGGGACCCAUACGAAACACCACUGGUGAUUCUGGAAGCGCUCCCAAGAGGCAGAGAAAGGUCAUGACAUUACAAGAAAAAGUCGAAUUGCUUGACAUGUACCGUAGAUUAAGGUCUGCGGCUGCAGUGGCCCGUCAUUUCAAGAUGAAUGAAUCCAGCGUAAGGACCAUUGUAAAAAAGGAAAAGGAAAUCCGUGAGGCUGUGGCGGCAGCUACGCCAGCAGGCGCGAGCACAUUGCACUUUCUGCGAGACAGCUUUUUAUCUCGUAUUGAAAAUGAAGCUUUUACGUGGGUGCAGGAUUGCUAUAGGAAAGGCAUACCUAUAGACUCUAACACGAUUCGAGAAAAAGCAAAGUCAUUGUAUGACCACUUACAGCAAAAGGAAGGUGAAGGAUCCAAGGCUGGAGAAUUUAGUGCCAGCAAAGGAUGGUUUGAUAAUUUCAGAAAGAGGUUUGGCUUAAAAAAUGUCAAGAUAGCAGGGGAAGCAGCUUCCCCCGCCCAAGAGGCAGUAGAUGAGUUGCCACCUCAGGCGCCCAGAGUCACGGCACCAGAGGAGUUAACAGAGGGUGAGUCGGCGGAGGCGAGAGCUUCCGGACCGGUGCCGGAUGAAGAUGCGCGAGAAGCGGCGCCAGAAAACAAGUUGACGUUAGACAACCUGGCAGAAGGGUUUCGAUUAUUCAAGACGGCUUUUGACUUCUUUCACAGCAUGGACCCUUCUGUGAUACGGGCACUGAGACUAAAGCAAGUGGUGGAAGAAGGGCUGGUACCCUAUAGAAACAUUUUCAGAGAGAUGAAAAGGCAGAGAAGUCAAACGGAAGUUACAAGGUGUGUCCGUGAAGUUACACCGGGUGUGCCUGCCCCUCUUGCCUCCUCUUCCACCUCCUCUAGCUCUGCCUCCGCCUCCCCCGAGACGGCCAGACCAGCCUGUCCUCUGCCUCGCCCGCAGCCUGCUCAGCAUAAAGAUGACGAGGACAAAGACCCCUUCCACGUAAUGAAUACUAAAUAGUCGUCAUGCCGUACGGUUAAACUGACCUGUUGUGUGUGUGUGUGUGUGUGUGUGUGUGUGUGCGCGCGAGUGUCUCCGUGUGAAAAUCUGGUAACUGUACGGCAGGAACUGUGUAGGACUGCAUCAUCGCCUGGGUAUUCAUUGGGCAGGACAUCAUAUGCAAGAUUCGCCCGCAAGUGGAUGGCCUGUCCUUAGAGGCAUAAGACGCGUUGAGUGUCCACGGUGGAAGGAACCUGGGAAACCAUGCAAUCCAAACCAUGCAAUUUGCAGCUCGGGGCCCGCCCUUUGUUAAUGUGCAGCGUCCAGGGUGUACCCGUGUCACUGUGACCUCUGCCCCACCAAAGAUGAGCUGAGCGUAAGGACCACGCCUUGUCUAUCCCUGUGCCCCCGUCACAUGGUAAGUCCUUGAUGAAGCCUGGUGAAAAUAGUGGCCUCACAGUAUGUCCUAAGUACAGGCAGACUUGGGCAGGUAGAGUAUAACCCCCCAAGACCUCCCUAAGAGGUACAGAGUAGGUGCUUAAUGUGUGCUUGUCAAACAAUUAUUUAACAAAACUGUUUCCAAACCCAAAAAGGACACAUUCACUCUGUUUCCAUUAUAAAUUUUUUUUUUUAAAUUGAAGAAUACCGAUUAACACAGGAAACAUUUAAUUUCACGGAAUUGUGCGUAUGGUCAUCAGUUACACUGUGACAUGUUAACUUCUUUAUCAUUUAUUCGCACUGUCAACAGAAUACCGUGAACAAGAUGUGAAUGCAUUAGUGGGCGGUGCUCCCUAGCUAUGCUCCUCUACCAUGGGCUGAUAUAUGUAUACAUUUAUAUAUAUAUAUGUAUAGAGAUAGGUAUAGAUAUAUAGAUGUUUUAAUGUGCACAAUUUUGCAUGGUUACUGUCAGUAAAAAUUAUAAAAAAACAUUUACAAUAAAAGUGAGGAUGUGCUAAGACUUGCUAUUACAGGACCUUGCUUUCUGUAAAAGACUUCCUAGAGAUAGUUACUAAAGUCCACAGCACUAAUGGGAGAUGGGUUCGUUCCCAGACCGUCGGCCACAGAAGCGCUCCGCGGGCCCAGCCCUGGACAGCAACCUGUCGGCCGGGCUCCCCGUUGUUACCCCCCUCUCCACAGUUUCUACCAUCUUGAGCCCUGCCGAGAGUCCUCUGCUUUGAAAUCCUUCCAGCUCUACCCCCACCCUGAAAAGAAGAUGCCUCAGGAACUCCUACUACGCCCUGAGCCAACAAGAACGUGUUGAUAAAUGGCUUAAAAAGUUUCACGAGAAGUAACUUCCCUUGGUAAGGAGGGAGUAAGUCUGGACAUGACUUCCCAGAUAAAACGAUUUCAUUCCUCUAUGACUGCCCCGUGGGAGAGAACAAAAUGUCUAUGGCCACUCUCUCCACCAAAGAGAGCCCAGUUUCUGGUCGUGCCCUGGCUCGGAAACCUUUGGGACCCCAGGAACCUUACUGAAUGUUUGCACCCAACGUUAAAGUCCUCCAGAGAAAGCGUCCUCAUGCCAAUACAUGAAUUAUGGUUUGGUUUGCA